AUUAAACGCUGGCGGCAUGCCUUACACAUGCAAGUCGAACGGCAGCACGGGGGCAACCCUGGUGGCGAGUGGCGAACGGGUGAGUAACGCAUCGGAACGUGCCCUGGAGUGGGGGAUAACGUAGCGAAAGUUACGCUAAUACCGCAUAUUCUGUGAGCAGGAAAGCAGGGGAUCGCAAGACCUUGCGCUCUGGGAGCGGCCGAUGUCGGAUUAGCUAGUUGGUGGGGUAAAGGCCUACCAAGGCGACGAUCCGUAGCGGGUCUGAGAGGAUGAUCCGCCACACUGGGACUGAGACACGGCCCAGACUCCUACGGGAGGCAGCAGUGGGGAAUUUUGGACAAUGGGCGCAAGCCUGAUCCAGCCAUGCCGCGUGAGUGAAGAAGGCCU
rnacentral:rRNA from 1 species